rnacentral:rRNA from 1 species
UACGAAGGGGGCUAGCGUUGCUCGGAAUCACUGGGCGUAAAGCGCACGUAGGCGGCUUUCUAAGUCAGGGGUGAAAUCCUGGAGCUCAACUCCAGAACUGCCUUUGAUACUGGAGAGCUCGAGUCCGGAAGAGGUGAGUGGAACUGCGAGUGUAGAGGUGAAAUUCGUAGAUAUUCGCAAGAACACCAGUGGUGAAGGCGGCUCACUGGUCCGGUACUGACGCUGAGGUGCGAAAGCGUGGGGAGCAAACAGG